rnacentral:rRNA from 1 species
UACGGGGGGGCAAGCGUUGUUCGGAAUUACUGGGCGUAAAGGGCUCGUAGGUGGCCAACUAAGUCAGACGUGAAAUCCCUCGGCUUAACCGGGGAACUGCGUCUGAUACUGGAUGGCUUGAGUUUGGGAGAGGGACGCGGAAUUCCAGGUGUAGCGGUGAAAUGCGUAGAUAUCUGGAGGAACACCGGUGGCGAAGGCGGCCUGCUGGGCAGUUGCUGACACUGAGGCGCGACAGCGUGGGGAGCAAACAGG